rnacentral:tRNA from 1 species
GGAGGGGUGCGUGAGUGGUUGAAACGGCUCCGCUCGAAACGGAGUUUCCUGAUUAUAUCGGGAACGGGGGUUCAAAUCCCUCCCCCUCCG